GGGGCUAGCAAAGUUGUUAGGAGCUAAGAAAUGUUUUGAGGUUGCAGAAAAAUCCCUUGUAGAUUUCAAAAAGAAAGAGUUAAAGUUCUUAGGAUCUAUUGGUGAGAGAUGUGAGUUGGGUUUGACAUUUGGGAAUGAUUGUGUAAUUGUAUGUUUGGGAAAAGGGUAGAAUAAUGGAGAUUGAGCAUUGUAUGCAUGAGUUGGUCCCUUUCUUAGAUAU
rnacentral:lncRNA from 1 species